ensembl:snRNA U4 U4 spliceosomal RNA
GUCUUUGGGCAGUGGCAAUAUCGCAGCAUAUAGGGUUUAACUGAGUUGCAAUUACUACCUAUUGAAAACUAAACCCAAUCACCCAGUAAGUGUAUUUGAAAAAGUAUUGGCUUCAGCUAUUUUUUUGGUCUCCUUUGAGA